GCGGGCGUGGCGGAAUUGGCAGACGCGCAGGACUUAGGAUCCUGUGGGGCAACCCGUGGGGGUUCAAAUCCCUUCGCCCGCACCA
rnacentral:tRNA from 2 species